UACUUGAAUGAAGGUGAGGAUGCAGAAGGAGUCCUAUUGGAGAGAAAAUGGAUUUGUGUCAAUUGAAGACUAUUUGCUGUUCUAUAGAGAAGCCCAAGGAUUAGCAACAAAAGAUAUUAACAUUUAAUCUUUGUAUUUAUAAAAAAUUGAGAAACUAAGGUAUAAAGAAAUCCUGGGUAGAUCCAUACAGUAAAACGUCAUUUGUGAAUUUCAUAAAUAUGAACUACCUUCUAAGAGUACUGUUUAAAUGUCACCAGCCUAAAAAGAAUGCAUUCUAACUGGACUUCGAUUGGCAAGUUCUUCUUCACCUCCUUGUCCUAUGUGAAGAUCUGGUUCAACUGGCAAUACCCAAGAGUGUGGCAUUUUAAAAAGGGAAAAGGUGUGGUUUACUGGCCUAAAGGGCAUCACUGAGCUGGUGUGUUUGUUUCUUUUUAAAUAAAAAUCCAUGGAAUAGAGGAAGCACUAGUAAGGAAUUUUGAAAACAAAAGGAAAUUUCCUCUGUAAAUAGCUGGGAACUAACUGGAGCCUCAGUUUCAUCAACUGUGCAGGAGCUACCCCUCUGAAGGAGAACAUGCUGGUGCCAUGAAAUUGCCUGGAUCAACGCAGGCUGUUAAAAGAUAAACUGAGGCAUAUUACAAAUUUCAAGAAUUUAUUUGAGCAAAAAUUGAUUCAAGUUGAUCGUUAGGUUUCU